rnacentral:lncRNA from 1 species
AACCGUGCCGCGGAGGCCUUGAGAGGCCACACGCCCUAUGUUGGUCUGCGAGAAAUCAAACUUCGAACAGGACAAGCCCGAAGCCCGCUUCUCCGGGAGACGGGGUGCCACAAUUGCAAGGUACUUCUGGCCAUCCUGCUUGUCAGCACAUUGGGAAAACUGGGUGCUGGAGACUCGGAAACCACCGUGCAGACCUCGAGUCCUUCCCAGGCCCAGCCAACAGGGUGGUGAAUUGAAGAGAAACAUCAUCUUCUGCCUCCUGAAGGACCAGAACAGAACCUAGAAGUCAUGCACCAGUGAGGCUGCAGGUGCAGCCCACAACAAGGCCGUAACGUGGGGCGCUCCCUGAUACUGCCCUUUUUUUCUGGAGGCUGGGGCUUACCCGGCCGAGGUCGCCCUUUAGGACAAGGAAUCAGAGCUUUGCUGGCUGCCUUACCUUGCUGGGGCAGAGCCAGAGGGAAUCGCUGCUGAAGCUGUCCUGUGGGCUGCUGUGCCUGCCCCUUUAGUGACCCCACGGAAACACCUCCGCAACAAGUAAUCCACAGUGUCCUGCUUGCCAGCCUAGGCUUCCUCAUCACCUGCUGUUUCCGAAGAGAACAAUCUACACUGGAAUGACCAAGCUCUAGAAACAGGAGGAUGCAAAGAAUCUGUGGAAAGUCUGUUUGUCAUCUGGAUUCUUAGAAGAUACACAUUUUCCCUUCUUGUUAUAUUCAGUAGUGCAUGAAGCAGAUAUUACAGUAGAUGUGCAAUUCACACUAAAGUUGAUAGAAGGGUAAAGUCGUAUUCUAAGGUACUUUGUGGUCUCAAAUUUGUUCCCAACCCCAUGAUGCCCUUAAAAGCUGGACAGUUAUCAUUGAGAGUGGAGGUAGAAAGAAACUAGCUAGUCAGAUACAGCACAGUCCUCGGCAGAACGUCCCUUCUAAAGAAAAGCAGCCCAAGAAAUCACUUCUCUUUAACAAAGAGCAACCUGGAAGAUGGGGCUGCAAUCAUAGAUAAGGAAGCUAGAAGCUUAUAUGAGAGGGUAUGACUGCAGCUGCACCAAAAGAAGGGACCACCUCAGGCCAGACACAUUCAACAUGGGGGGCUCCACCCAACUUUUUUGCACAUGCACAGUAGGAAAGAGAUAAGCAACUUGGAGUAGCUCAGGCUAAGAACCCGCCUGCAUAAUAAAAGGUUGGAGUGUGGGCUGCCAGAGAUUCGUGUUCUAUGGAGAUGACACACCUGGUCCUAACCAUUUUUUCAUGCCCUAUGUGGAUAAGACACUCCCUUCCACUAGCUCAUGUAUAAAAACCAUUGCAUUUCACUCCUGAAAGUCAAGAGUUUUUGAGGAUCCCUCUCUGCAGUGGAGAGUUGUUCUCUUUCUUUCACCUAUUAAACCUCUCCUCCAACAUCACCCUUGGUGUGUCUGCAUUCUUGAUUUCCUCAAUCAUGAGACCAGGCAUCACCCCAUAUGAUAAGGCCACUUGAUCAUGACUUGUCUCUUUGCUCCUUGGGACAUGGAACCUUCAAUGAAAGUGUGUCCAAAAGGACAUUUCAUAAAGUGCUCUCACUUCCAAUCUUCAAGCAAUGUGGGAAACUAUCCAUGUGUAAAAAACUUUUGGCUGAAAUGCACAAUUUCUAAUACAAAAUGAGUCCCAUAAAUUAUGUGUGUGUGUUAUGGCCAUUGGGAUAUCAUCACAUAUUGCCACAUUUAGUAAGAGGGACCCGUGAACUUCUGGCUAAGAAACUUAAGUUCUACAUACUGUCAUCUAUGAAAGAUAGUUCUUCCUGCAUUUCUCCAAACCAAUCUUGAAAUGUGUAUCUUGUAUAAAAUUUCUAUAUAAUCCCAGUGAGUUUCACCCUUCUGGCCCCACCCUCACUGCACUGGUACCAAUGGAAUUGCAUUUGCUCAUGCUUCCCCCUUGAGGUCAUAAACAUUUAGCGACAGAAUGGACCCAGAAGGCACUAAAGCAAGAGCUGAAGCCUUCUGAGUAGGUGAGUAGACAUGGCCUGCAGCCUGGACAUCUUCACAAUAAAUAGGUUGUAGGUCAAGUUAGAAAAAAAAUGGAAAUUAUUCUUUUUCUUUGAACACCACAAAGAGAAAUGCACAGGAUCUAGACGUGUCUGUGAAGCUAGAUUUGUCCUGGGAAAGUGACAAGGGCUGAGCAGGAGCCCUGGUGAUAGAGGGUGGGUGAGAUGCAGUCCUUACGGAGAGAUCACUAGGGUCAGGGCUUGGCACACUGACGCUGGCAGGGGCCUUCUGAAGAGCAAGGGGGAUGGCCCAGGACACAAGCCUGAAGUGACCUGUCUGAGCCAAACAUCUGUUUAGGUCCACCUGAAUCUCAGCAGCCUUGUCAAGGCAGGUGAGAUCAGCCCUGGGUAUCAGUGACAGUGGAGGCCGGCAGCUGGUGGGUGGGGAACACGCGUGAACUAAAGGGAGUGGAUAAAGAAAGAGACUUCUGUGUGCGAAUCUUUCUUGGUGGAUCAAUAGGGAGGUGAAGUCUUUGGCAUACCCUCAAACCCAGCUUGUGAGAUUGCAAUCCCAGUGAAGUUGGGACAAGUUGGCACUGCUCGACCAGGCCACCCAAUACACCAUGUCCCUUUUCCACCACAGCUGGCCCUGGAUGGGGGUGUGGACUCCCAUAGAGUCUAGAGGAUGGGACCCUAACCAGUAGUGGUGCUGGUGUGUGGCAUGAAGGGAGCUAGGGGAGGCCCUCCAGGUGGGAGGAGGAGCCAGCCUCUCUUGUGGGACCCUGGGCAAGUCACUGCCAUCUUUGGGCCACCGUUUCCUCAUCUGGAGAAUGCAGGAAGUCUGUUGUGCAGGCCUUUCAGGGUCAUGAUAAGGUGCAACGGAGGAAGGAAAUUUGAGAGUUCUUGUGCCUACCUCUUCCUGAGAGGGAUGAUGGUGAGAACAGUGGUGAUAGCCACAUGCAACUGGGUCCUCAGGAGGCCCUACGAGGAAGGUGUUCCCACCACAUUGAAAUGCCUAACCUUGUUUUUACUCUAACUGGCUACUUUGAAUUUUAUCCUGUUUGGCUCUUUAAUCACCUAGCCUUGCUUCUCAUGUAAAUAAGACUCUCUCUAGCUGGGAAAGCUGGUCGAACUCCAAUUGACCCCUUAAUUUACAAGACACUAAGGGCUCCUUACCCAACCCCCUUCCGCAAGGAGUUGACCUGUGUUAAGCAGAUCCUCAGCAUUUCAAAGGAGCCCAAUUAACUGAUAAGGUACUGGCACCAACAGUGUAUGAAGUUCCCAGGAUUUUUCUCAAAGGGACAACAACAUAAAACCUUGAGUUCUUGUCCGGCAUAGCACCUAUAUCUAAUUAUAAUGAAGGAUUUAGAGCCCUGCACCUGGUACUGUUGCUCUUUUUGUAACCAUUUGUCUUUUAAAUUGUUUAUCUCUUUGUAACCGUUUGUUUUUUUGAUACUUGCAUGUUUUUACUUCUAUAGAAUUAUUGCAUUUGAGUUCCCCUCACCUUCCUAAACCUAGGUAUAAAAGUUAAUCAAGCUCCUUCCUUGGGGCGGAGAAAAUUUUGAGCGUUAGCCAUCUCUUUGGCCGCCGGCUUAAUAAAGGACUCUUAAUUCAUCUCAGAGUGUGGC